AGUUUUUUUGUNUCUCAGUAAUCUGCCCCAAGCUCUGGGAUAGCCACCGAGUAAACGGUGAUUAAUACCGGAUACGACAACCGAUUGCAUGAUCUGGUUGUGGAAAGUUUUUCGGCCUGGGAUGUGCUCGCGGCCUAUCAGCUUGUUGGUGAGGUAAUGGCUCACCAAGGCUUCGACGGGUAGCCGGCCUGAGAGGGUGACCGGCCACACUGGGACUGAGACACGGCCCAGACUCCUACGGGAGGCAGCAGUGGGGAAUAUUGGACAAUGGGCGGAAGCCUGAUCCAGCAACGCCGCGUGAGGGAUGACGGCCUUCGGGUUGUAAACCUCUUUCAGCACAGACGAAGCGCAAGUGACGGUAUGUGCAGAAGAAGGACCGGCCAACUACGUGCCAGCAGCCGCGGUAAUACGUAGGGUCCGAGCGUUGUCCGGAAUUAUUGGGCGUAAAGGGCUCGUAGGCGGUCUGUCGCGUCGGGAGUGAAAACCAGGUGCUUAACACCUGGCCUGCUUUCGAUACGGGCAGACUAGAGGUACUCAGGGGAGAAUGGAAUUCCUGGUGUAGCGGUGAAAUGCGCAGAUAUCAGGAGGAACACCGGUGGCGAAGGCGGUUCUCUGGGAGUAUCCUGACGCUGAGGAGCGAAAGUGUGGGGAGCGAACAGGAUUAGAUACCCUGGUAGUCCACACCGUAAACGUUGGGCGCUAGGUGUGGGACACAUUUCACGUGUUCCGUGCCCCAGCUAACGCAUUAAGCGCCCCCCCUGGGGAAUAC
rnacentral:rRNA from 1 species